UGGAGGACUAAGAAAGUGGAGCCAGUGACAUUAUACUGGCUCCACUGAUACUAUCCUCCUAUAUUAAAUGGUGGAAGAACAAGGCCUGCCUGUGAGAGAAA
rnacentral:snoRNA from 1 species